rnacentral:rRNA from 1 species
CGGGGUGCACCAGGCGCGAAAACUCUACAAUGCAGGCAACUGCGAUAGGGGAACAUCGAGUGGCGUCCAUAUUGGAUGUCUGUCCUCCCGCCUAAAAAGCGGGAGUUAGCAAGGGCCGGGCAAGACCGGUGCCAGCCGCCGCGGUAAUACCGGCGGCUCGAGUGGUGGCCGAUAUUAUUGAGUCUAGAGGGUCCGUAGCCGGCUUUGCAAGUCUCUCGGGAAAUCCAGCGGCUUAACCGUUGGUCGUCCGGGGGGUGCUACAUUGCUUGGGACUGGGAGAGGUAGGAGGUACUCAGGGGGUAGGAGUGAAAUCCUGUAAUCCUUUGGGGACCACCGGUGGCGAAGGCGUCCUACCAGAACAGGUCCGACGGUGAGGGACGAAAGCUAGGGGCACGAACCAGAUUAGAUACCCGGGUAGUCCUAGCCGUAAACGAUGCUCGCUAGGUGUCACAACAGUCGUGAACUGUUGUGGUGCCGUAGGGAAGCCGUGAAGCGAGCCACUUGGGAAGUACGACCGCAAGGUUGAAACUUAAAGGAAUUGGCGGGGGAGCACAAGGGCGAUUCGCG